UUUCCGUAGGUGAACCUGCGGAAGGAUCAUUAAAAAAUUGGACUCCAUUGGUGAGUUCAUUAAUAAUCCCUACCCUUUGUGAAUUUGUUUGUUUGAAUAAUUUUUUUUCCAAAAAAAUUAUUGAAUGUCUUUCCUUGUUUUGGUGGAGCUUGUAAAGUGAAACCAGGCAGGGGAAUGGCAAACAAUAAUUAUUUUUGAAAAAGACCUUUUUUUAAAAUUAAACUUUUUGUAUUCAUUUGUCUAAAAUUAUUUUUAUAAUAUAAAAACAACUUUUGACAAUGGAUCUCUUGGUUCUCGCAACGAUGAAGAACGCAGCAAAAUGCGAUAAGUAGUGUGAAUUGCAGAAUACGUGAAUCAUCGAAUCUUCGAACGCAUAUUGCACUUUUUUAGUUUACUAAAAAAGUAUGUCUGUUUGAGUAUCAGUAAAAUAUUCUCAUAAAAACUUUUUGUUUUUAUGGUUAUGAGUGUUUUACAACGAUACAAGUUGUUUCACUUUAAAUUUUUUUUAAAAUUUGAAUUUUUCUAAUUUUAAAAUAAAAUUGGAUAAAAUUUUCCCGUAAAAAAGGAAUAACCUAAAACAAUUUUAAUUUUUUGAUUAGAAUUCUUCAAUUAUAAAGGAAAAUUUAACUAAAUAACUUGAUCUCAAAUCAGAUAAGAGUACCCGCUGAACUUAAGCAUAUCAAUAAGCGGAGGAAAAGAAACUAACAAGGAUUCCCUUAGUAACGGCGAGUGAAGCGGGAAGAGCUCAAAUUUGAAAUCUUCAAGGUUUUACCUUGACGAAUUGUAGUUUAAAGAAGUGUUUUUUGUUGAAGUUUUGGUAAAAGUUCUUUGGAAUAGGACAUCAUAGAGGGUGAGAAUCCCGUAUUUGACCAUUAUUUUCAGCUGUGUGAUACACUUUCAAAGAGUCGGAUUGUUUGGGAAUGCAGUCCAAAAUGGGUGGUAAAUUUCAUCUAAAGCUAAAUAUUGGCGAGAGACCGAUAGCGAACAAGUACCGUGAGGGAAAGAUGAAAAGAACUUUGAAAAGAGAGUUAAACAGUACGUGAAAUUGUCAAAAGGGAAGCGUUUGACACCAGUGUUGUUUUCUCGAAAAUCAAUUAAAAAAGUUGGAUUUUGUGUUGUAUUGACCUUAACAGCUUGCUUCACUCUUUUCUUGCUUUUUUUAAUGCACUUUUCGUUUAACAAGUCAACAUCAGUUUCUUUUGUUGUAAAAGGGUCAUUGGAAGAUGGCUUUCUCUUCGGAGAAAGUGUUUAUAGCCUUUGAUCUCUGCAAUCGGAGAGACUGAGGUCUGCAGCGUAGAUCCUUCGGGGUUAGAUACAUUUGUGCUAAGCUACAGCUUUUCAUAGACAACUUGUUGACUAUGUUUAGUCUUGUAACUUACCCGCUUAUGCUAUUUUACCUACGCUUAGGAUGUUG
rnacentral:misc_RNA from 1 species